GAGUUUGGAGGGUGCCGGUCAACGAAGCCACGCGAGGUAUUUGAAAGGCAAUCAGCCCGACCGUCCCCCUAGAUUCAUCGGAGAAGGAACUCGGUGAAUAUUGCCCUGGGUCCUGGUAAUUCCACCUACUGAAGACAGCUGCCCCUUCUGCUCAUAUUUCCUGAGUCAACAUGGCCACUCUUAACUUUAAAGAGACUUUAGACAUUCUUUGUUACAAUGAACCUAGAAGAAAGAAGAGAAAUAUUACAGCGACUGUGCCCGGGACUGUAAGAGGGAUAAGACCCAGCAGAAUAACUGCCAUGGAAGGAUGCUCCUCCUGCCAAUUGGCACUUAUCAAUGACAUCGAGGGAGAGGGACAGAGUGCCUAGGUAUGAGCCUUCAUCAAGUGGUAUGAAGGCCCUACCCCAACAGAAAGUGCUCAUGUGAAGAAAUGAUGCUUUGGACAAGACUUUCCUCCAAGUUGGUCCUAUCCAGGGGUUGGCAAAUAGGGUCCCUGGACAUCAUCCUUGUUGCGUACUCUUAUGAAUAAAGUUCUAUAGGACACA
rnacentral:lncRNA from 1 species